rnacentral:piRNA from 1 species
UCUUAAGUUAUGAAGUGGGUGCCUUUGUGC